rnacentral:rRNA from 1 species
UACACUGCAAGUCGAACGGUAACAGGAAGCAGCUUGCUGCUUUGCUACAGUGGCGGACGGGCGAGUAAUGUCUGGGAAACUGCCUGAUGGAGGGGGAUAACUACUGGAAACGGUAGCUAAUACCGCAUAACGUCGCAAGACCAAAGAGGGGGACCUUCGGGCCUCUUGCCAUCGGAUGUGCCCAGAUGGGAUUAGCUAGUAGGUGGGGUAACGGCUCACCUAGGCGACGAUCCCUAGCUGGCCUGAGAGGAUGACCAGCCACACUGGAACUGAGACACGGUCCAGACUCCUACGGGAGGCAGCAGUGGGGAAUAUUGCACAAUGGGCGCAAGCCUGAUGCAGCCAUGCCGCGUGUAUGAAGAAGGCCUUCGGGUUGUAAAGUACUUUCAGCGGGGAGGAAGGUGUUGAGGUUAAUAACCUCAGCAAUUGACGUUACCCGCAGAAGAAGCACCGGCUAACUCCGUGCCAGCAGCCGCGGUAAUACGGAGGGUGCAAGCGUUAAUCGGAAUUACUGGGCGUAAAGCGCACGCAGGCGGUCUGUCAAGUCGGAUGUGAAAUCCCCGGGCUCAACCUGGGAACUGCAUUCGAAACUGGCAGGCUAGAGUCUUGUAGAGGGGGGUAGAAUUCCAGGUGUAGCGGUGAAAUGCGUAGAGAUCUGGAGGAAUACCGGUGGCGAAGGCGGCCCCCUGGACAAAGACUGACGCUCAGGUGCGAAAGCGUGGGGAGCAAACAGGGAUUAGAUACCCUGGUAGUCCACGCCGUAAACGAUGUCGACUUGGAGGUUGUGCCCUUGAGGCGUGGCUUCCGGAGCUAACGCCGUUAAGUCGACCGCCCUGGGGAGUACCGGCCGCAAGGGUUUAAACUCAAAUGAUUGGACGGGGGGCCCGCCACAAGCGGGGGGAGCCAUGUGGUUUAAUUUCGAAUGCAACCGCGAAAAAACCUUUACCU